UUAGGACGAACGCUGGCGGCGUGCCUAAUACAUGCAAGUCGAACGGUCUUUCUAUGGAAGCUUGCUUCCACUGAGAAGAUAGUGGCGAACGGGUGAGUAACACGUGGGUAACCUGCCCAUAAGAGGGGGAUAACAUCCGGAAACGGGUGCUAAUACCGCAUAGUUUUCUUGAUCGCAUGAUUGAGAAAGGAAAGACGGCCUUUGUGCUGUCGCUUAUGGAUGGACCCGCGGCGUAUUAGUUAGUUGGUGAGGUAACGGCUCACCAAGACGAUGAUACGUAGCCGACCCGAGAGGGUGAUCGGCCACAUUGGGACUGAGACACGGCCCAAACUCCUACGGGAGGCAGCAGUAGGGAAUCUUCCGCAAUGGACGAAAGUCUGACGGAGCAACGCCGCGUGAGUGAAAGAAGGUUUUCGGAUCGUAAAACUCUGUUGUCAGAGAAGAACAAGUUGGAGAGUAACUGCUCCAGCCUUGACGGUAUCUGACCAGAAAGCCACGGCUAACUACGUGCCAGCCGCGGC
rnacentral:rRNA from 1 species